GAUGAAGAACGUAGCGAAAUGCGAUAAGUAAUGUGAAUUGCAGAAUUCAGUGAAUCAUCGAAUCUUUGAACGCACAUUGCACUCAUUAGUAUUCUAGUGAGUAUGCCUGUUCGAGCGUCAUUUCAACCCUUAAGCCUAGCUUAGUGUUGGGAAUUUACCUAACUGGUAAUUCCUCAAAAUCAGUUGACGGAGUUCAGUUGACUCUGAGUGUAGUAAUUUUUUCUCGCUUUAGAAGUCUUCUGCGCUGUUGCCAGAAAUUUGCGUCCUUAUGGGUGCUAAUUUUUCUUAUGGUUGACCUCGGAUCAGGUAGGAAUACCCGCUGAACUUAAGCAUAUCAAUAAGCGGAGGA
rnacentral:misc_RNA from 1 species